rnacentral:rRNA from 1 species
UACGGAGGGGGCUAGCGUUGUUCGGAAUUACUGGGCGUAAAGUGCGCGUAGGCGGACCUGCAAGUCGGGGGUCAAAGCCCGAGGCUCAACCUCGGAACUGCCUUCGAUACUGCGGGUCUCGAGUCCGGGAGAGGUGAGUGGAAUUCCUAGUGUAGAGGUGAAAUUCGUAGAUAUUAUGAAGACCUCCAGUGGCGAAGGCGGCUCACUGCCCCGGUACUGACACUGAGGUGCGAAAGCGUGGGGAGCAAACAGG